UCUAAGUUCGGAUUGCAGGCUGCAACCCGCCUGCAUGAAGUCGGAAUCGCUAGUAAUCGCGAGUCAGCAUAUCGCGGUGAAUACGUUCCCGGGUCUUGUACACACCGCCCGUCACACCAUGGGAGUUGGCAACACCCGAAGUCGAUGAGCUAACCGCAAGGAGGCAGUCGCCUAAGGUGGGGUUGAUAACUGGGGUGAAGUCGUAACAAGGUACC
rnacentral:rRNA from 1 species